GACGAACGCUGGCGGCGUGCUUAACACAUGCAAGUCGAACGGAAAGGCCCUGCUUUUGUGGGGUGCUCGAGUGGCGAACGGGUGAGUAACACGUGAGUAACCUGCCCUUGACUUUGGGAUAACUUCAGGAAACUGGGGCUAAUACUGGAUAGGAGCUCCUGCUGCAUGGUGGGGGUUGGAAAGUUUCGGCGGUUGGGGAUGGACUCGCGGCUUAUCAGCUUGUUGGUGGGGUAGUGGCUUACCAAGGCUUUGACGGGUAGCCGGCCUGAGAGGGUGACCGGCCACAUUGGGACUGAGAUACGGCCCAGACUCCUACGGGAGGCAGCAGUGGGGAAUAUUGCACAAUGGGCGGAAGCCUGAUGCAGCAACGCCGCGUGCGGGAUGACGGCCUUCGGGUUGUAAACCGCCUUCGCCUGUGACGAAGCGUGAGUGACGGUAAUGGGGAAAGAAGCACCGGCUAACUACGU
rnacentral:rRNA from 1 species